GGGCAGCUGGCUAGGAAAUCAGUGAUCUGCCUAACAAUUUGUUCAUUAACCCAGCUGGGAAUGGUUAAUUCAAAUUAGCCCUGGAAACAAAAGAGUAAACAUAGCCCAAGCAACCAAUUUUCCAAAUAUAAACUCAUUUAUUCCAGAACCAGCAGAUUCUUAUGAGGCCAUUGGGAAAUGAGGUAAGGUUCUAGACUGGAAGCAUGGGUCCAGCAGAUUCUGAUUCCAUUAAUCUGAGCAUCACCAUAUUUUGGGCCCUGUUUAGCUGCAGCGCACAAGGGUGAACAAAAGUUUUUGCAUGUCUACAUGUAUUUCCCUGGGAGCAAAGUGCAUAUUUUCAUAUUCCUUUCUCUCCCACAUUUCUUUUUCCCUUUAGAGUCAAUAAUGUCAGCUGAAUUUCUCCAUAAAGGGCUUGACUUAGGGUUGGGCCAGGAAAAGCCAUUACUGAAUGGAGAUCUGGAAGGGAAAUGGAAAGCAAUGGGACAGCAAAGGGAAACACAGCCAGCUCAGCAGGAAGCAAGAUGGGAACUUCAUGGUCUCCAAGGUCUCCGCUCCCCUUCUGUGAUGCUCACUUCUUGACUCCCUCCUGACCUUGACCCAAAGACAGGGGCUGUCAGGAGUACUGCGAGGAGGUGGGGAAGCUUUAGGCAGGCUUCCUGGAACUACUGUUUUACUUAAU
rnacentral:lncRNA from 10 species